ACUAAAGUAGUUUAAAAUAAAACCCUAAUUUGUGGUAUUAAAAUUACCAGUUAAAAUCUGGUCUAUAGUC
rnacentral:tRNA from 1 species